GGGGAAUAUACUUAAUAGUGUUUAUUUUUCCAAUUGCUGUUGCACAAGGUUGCAAUAAAACAAGAGUAACUCUGAGGCAACACCUUGGCAGAUCUUGGCCUCGGCAUGCCACUCUACAAUGCAUAUACCACUACAACAAAUGUACUUUGGACUGGCCUACCGAUGAUCACCCUUCCCCUUGAGAAUUUAGCAACUACAAUUACUGGUUCGUUGUGUUUGGCCACAAGGGUUACUGAGGAGAUGAUUGUUAGCAGCUUUGCGAGUUGUGACGAAAACAUUUAUAUUUUCCAGGCGCAUCGUCUUUUUUUUGCAGCAUGAUAUUCUUUAUUUAACACUUAGAGGUGACAUCUUUUGAAAUGUAGGAGAAGUUUAAUUGGCCACAGUAUGCCAUUUCAAGUAGUCAUUGUAAAACGUGCAUUGAGCAGCUACAAUUGAUUCUGCCAAAUGCUCUAAAAGGAGAAGGACCUCAUGUUGUGGCAAGUGGUCUGAAGUUAAUAAUGUUAGAGCUUAUUUCAUGUGAUUUCUUACCAUAUUGUAAAACAUUCUCUCAAUAUUGUUUUUCAACUCCUUGAAUGAUGAUGAUGAAGAAGCAUUAAAAUAAUUGCAGGCUACGCAGUUGUGGCUCUCAAAACAAGUGAUAUAUUGUGUUAACAAAUAUCUUA